GUUUUCUCUGCGUUGGCCGACUCUCCAACCGCUCCGAGAUUCACGGGAAAUCUCGGCCCCUCCGCCACCGGAGCAGAAAUUGCGCCACCCCGGGUUGUGUUCGCAUGAGCUGGUGGUUCGUCGACCUGAAUUCCAACCACUUUAUCACCUGCUGCCUCCUCAUCUUCCUCGUCCAUUACUCCCCCAGUUGUGACUCGAAGCAGAAGUCGUUCAAACCAUCACAACAGAUAUGGAGAAUCAGAUCAACAAAUUAUCAACCAAAAGAGACACUUACUAUUCCAAUGAUGAGAGAAGCCACUCUCG
rnacentral:misc_RNA from 1 species